rnacentral:rRNA from 1 species
UACGUAGGGGGCAAGCGUUGUCCGGAAUCAUUGGGCGUAAAGAGCGUGUAGGCGGCCCGGUAAGUCCGCUGUGAAAGUCCAGGGCUCAACCCUGGGAUGCCGGUGGAUACUGUCGGGCUCGAGUCCGGAAGAGGAGUGUGGAAUUCCCGGUGUAGCGGUGAAAUGCGCAGAUAUCAGGAGGAACACCAAUGGCGAAGGCGGAUCUCUGGGCCUUACCUGACGCUGAGGCGCGAAAGCUAGGGGAGCGAACAGG